rnacentral:lncRNA from 1 species
AGAGAUGGAGACUAACGUCUUCCAAGGGAGAUUGCGUCUCCACUUUCACCCUGGUACUGAGAGGUUGAGCACAAAAUUGGAACGCAGUCGCGGGGUAUAUCCCCCUGAAAACCGUACGUUGCCAAAUAAUGAUUUCUUUGGAUUAGAGAACUACAACUCCCCUGGGUCCUGAGCCGGUAUUUCCCUUUUGCGGCUGCACCGUAGUUAAAAACAAAGCUAAGUGUUCUGGGACGUAUAGUUCUAGCGUUCCUUGGGUCCCGCUGGCGAGCGUGGGCUUUCUGCAGCUCGCAACCGGCCUCGUGCUUUGCGGACGGUUCACUGCGCUUGGAAAGGGAUUGGCCUGGGGUACAUCAUCUAAAGAUCCUAGGAUUGCUGCAGGUCAGCAGUCUCCACUGGAAAAAAAGAUCUUGCAUGUAUUUCAAGUCCUCUGAUGAAUCAUGUGAUCUACUAGACCCUGAAGAUACAGUGAAGAGCAAAAGAACACAGAUGAAAUGAGAAACAAAAACGAUGGAGAAAACCAAAAAAGGGGACACAUGGGAUCCAGGCAAUAGGAGAGCCAGCAUAAGAGAGAGCCAGAGGGAUGCCCAGGAUGAGGUGAAGACGAUCUUGGAAAUCAGCCCAGAUGUGCAUGCACCAGUCCACGUGUGGCAGGACCAAGGGAAGUGUCUUCACAAAGAUGAGGGGUACACUCCUUUGGAAACCAGAACCUCGUAUCCUGCACAGCCCAGUGUUGGGAGAUAAAAUAUGCGAAAUACCCCAUUGAGUGAAUCUAAGAGAUUGGACAUGGAGCCAAACCUGCUUCCGCCUUUUGAUUUCUGGACACACAUGUUCUUCCUAUUGAGAACACAGAACUCUAGAGACGUCUCUGAUUCAAACAAUGCACUGUGUCCUGAAAGAUGGCACCCACCCCUCAGAGUGCUUCCUCCAGGCUGGCACUGAGUUGUGCCUGUAGAAGACCUGUCCAGCCUUCCUUGUGGCUGGCAGCUCCUGGGUAGUGCAGAUGGUGAUAGGAUUAGUGGAACCCACAGCCGUGGAAACACUGAAACUUUCCCUGCAAAGUGGGUCCUUCAGGCAGAUAAUGGGCUAGGAGCACUGCCUAGCCUGCAGACCAGGAAUGUCAACAGCACCCAGAGAGUGGUGCUGGCUGUGUCUGAGAGCAGGACAGGAAAACCCACCCAUAGAAUCGGUACCUAACCCUGUGAAGAUGAAACUCUGGCCCUUCCAGGUUGGAAGUAGCUAAAUGUAGUCAACUUGUUACUUAGUGGGUAGUCAUGUAAAGAAAUAGUGCCCCACUAGGGCACAUCAUGGGCCUCAAUUGCUGAUGAGUUGGACAUUCAGAGGUGGCAGCAGCUGGAUCUGCCUUGGUGUGGGGAAGUCAGUGCUGCUGGCCCCUUACGGAGCCUCAUGCCUGCCACUGUGGUUGCUCCAUUCAUGCACUCAUCCUACCAGGCCUGGGCUGACCCAUGGUGAAAGCUGGCUAACUGCCAUUUGUCUGUUUGGUAGUUCAGUGCCACUUCAGACUUGGGUGUUUUCUGUGGGUGUCAGCAAGGGAUUCAAGCUCAACCCAGGUGGACUGUUUUCACCUGAUGAUGAAUGCUGUUGGGCCUGUACCAUCUAUGACUUUGUGGGUCACACAGGCACUUGGAACCCCGUAGUUGCUUGGUAUCCCGUGGUCAAACAUUCUAUUGAAUCAGGACAAGGAACACUAAAAGUUGCUUCUAACAGGGGGCAUGUGUCUCUGCUGUGGAUGACAUGAUCUUACUCCAGAAUCCCAGGCCCUCCACUGUGACUCUCCCACUGGUGCUUGGUUCAGCUCCAUCCUGUGUCUUUCCCCACCACUGGCACCACCAGCCCCAGGGGUCUGAGGGAUGGUGGCUGCUUGUACCAUGGCCUGGAUCUGCUGCAGGGUCCUUUCCUGUGUAGGCCCCACUUGAAGCUGGCAUCCUCCUAUGUCACCUAGACUGUGGGCCAAAGCAAAAUGUCUAGAUGUGGAAUGUGGUGUUGUUAUAAUUCAAAGAGGCUCACCAAGCAGUGUGCUUCCUUGCUUCUGGUGAGGAUGCAAGAUGCAACAGUUUUUCUUUUACCUUGGAGGGGACACACCUGCAUUCCCCUAAACACUUGGCACUUGUUCACCCAUAAAACUUCACUUCAGUGCCCACCUUUGAAGCUGUAUAAGGUUUAUCUUCACCUUGUGGGGUGCGUGUGUUUUGCAAAGGACUACAGUGCACUUUCUUCCUGCUGCUCAUCUACUCCAGUCAACAUGAAGUUGUCAAUGAAAUGUGCUGAUUUAAUAUCCUAAAGGAUAUGCAGUAUGUCCAGUACAGUCUUAAGCCUAUACUAUAGAGGGCACAGGUGUUACAAUAGCCCUGAGGCAAACAAUAAAUAAAUGUGUCGUUGAUUCCA